AUUAAAUUAAAACAUUUCCCACGUAGGUGGCCCAACUGAACUGUCCUGUGGGUCAGUAGUCUUCAGCAGAAGGGGUUAAAAAAAGGGGAAAAGUUUUCCAUUUCCAUAUUAUAUUCUAACUUCUAUUUGGAAAGAAUAAUGCUAAUAUUGUAAAAAGUAACAGAGGGGCCAGGAGACAUAAUAAAUAAUUUUUUCCCCUCUUCCUAUUAGCUUAAACAAUUUUUUUUAGGCUAUUACAUUUUAACCCAUUUGACAGAGUUAAUAUUUGGAGGAAUAUUUAAAAACAACAAAA